rnacentral:rRNA from 1 species
AUUUGUCUGGUUAAUUCCGAUAACGAACGAGACCUUAACCUGCUAACUAGAUUCUUCUAUUUUAUAGUUGAUAUCUUCUUAGAGGGACUAUGUAAUACAAAUACAUGGAAGUUUGAGGCAAUAACAGGUCAGUGAUGCCCUUAUAUGUCCUGGGCUGCACGCGUGCUACACUGAUGCAUACAACAAGUGCCUAGCCAGACAUGGUAUCGCAAUCUCGAAUAUGCAUCGUGAUGGGGAUAGAUCUUUGCAAUUAUAGAUCUUGAACGAGGAAUUCCUAGUAAGUGCAAGUCAUCAUCUUGCAUUGAUUAUGUCCCUGCCCUUUGUACACACCGCCCGUCGCUCCUACCGAUACCGGGUGAUCCGGUGAACCUUUUGGACCUGUAAGGGGAAGAUAAGUAAACCAUAUCACCUAGAGGAAGGAGAAGUCGUAACAAGGUUUCCGUAGGUGAACCUGCRGAAGGAUCA